rnacentral:rRNA from 1 species
AACAUCGCCUCUUGCCCCCAUAAGAGGUCCAGCCUGCCCAGUGACCUAGUUCAACGGCCGCGGUAUCCUAACCGUGCAAAGGUAGCGUAAUCACUUGUUUUUUAAAUAAAGACUAGUAUGAAAGGCACCACGAGAAUUAAACUGUCUCCCUUUUCUAAUCAAUGAACCUAAUACCCCCGUGAAAAAGCGGGGAUUUCACAAUAAGACGAGAAGACCCUAUGGAGCUUUAAACAUCAUAAUCACCUGCCCACAAACCAAAAAACUCAGGUUCCAUGCCCAAACCCAUUAUGAUUAUAUGUUUUUGGUUGGGGUGACCGCGGAGAAAAACCUAUCCCCCGCGAUGAAAAUAACUACCCAAACAACAAGCCACAGCUUUAUGCAUCAACAAAUUGACACCAUUGACCCAAUAUAUUGAUUAACGAACCAAGUUACCCUAGGGAUAACAGCGCAAUCCACUUCAAGAGCUCCUAUCGACAAGUGGGCUUACGACCUCGAUGUUGGAUCAGGGUAUCCUGGUGGUGCAGCCGCUACUAAGGGCUCGUUUGUUCAACGAUUAAAACCCCACGUGAU